rnacentral:rRNA from 1 species
CGGGGUGAGUAAUGUCUGGGAAACUGCCUGAUGGAGGGGGAUAACUGCUGGAAACGGUAGCUAAUACCGCAUAACGUCGCAAGACCAAAGAGGGGGACCUUCGGGCCUCUUGCCAUCGGAUGUGCCCAGAUGGGAUUAGCUAGUAGGUGGGGUAACGGCUCACCUAGGCGGCGAUCCCUAGCUGGUCUGAGAGGAUGACCAGCCACACUGGAACUGAGACACGGUCCAG